rnacentral:rRNA from 1 species
UACAGCCUUAACAGCUAGCCCAACCUCAAAAUACAACAACCCCCAUUAAUAACCCCAAAACAACGACGUAACCCCAAACAAACCAUUUUUCCCCCCAAGUAUGGGAGACAGAAAAGGAGCCCCUGGCGCCAUAGAAAAAGUACCGCAAGGGAAAGCUGAAAGAGAAAUGAAAAAACGCAGUAAAGGACAAAAAAGCAGAGAUUUAUACUCGUACCUUUUGCAUCAUGAUUUAGCUAGUACCCCUGAGCAAAGAGCCCUUUAUGUUCGGACCCCCGAAACUGAGCGAGCUACUCCAAGACAGCCUAACAUAGGGCAAACCCGUCUCUGUGGCAAAAGAGUGGGAAGAGCUUUGAGUAGAGGUGACAGACCUACCGAGCCCAGUUAUAGCUGGUUGCCUGGGAAAUGAAUAGAAGUUCAACCUUUUGUGUUCUUUCACCCAAAAAGGACCUACCAACCUCCGGCCCAAAGAAAACAAAGGAGUUAUUCAAGAGAGGGACAGCUCUCUUGAAAAAAGACACAACUUCAAAAGAAGACUAAAGAUUAUAAUAAUAAAGGCAACAUACCCAAGUGGGCCUAAAAGCAGCCACCCCCGCAGAAAGCGUUAAAGCUUAAGUAUUUGACCCCCUAAAUUCUAAUAAGUAUAUUUUAAAUUCCUACAUUUACCAGGCCCUUCCAUGCCACCAUGGAAAAGAUCCUGCUAAUAUGAGUAAUAAGAAAGCACCGGCUUUCUCCAAUGCACCCGUGUACCCAGAACAGACCCUGACUGAAAAUUAACGCCCCCGACUUAUAGAGGGAAAUGAGUGAAACUAAUCAAAACUAGAAAACCCCUCAACCCACAGCGUUAGCCCCACACAGGAGUGCUUUAGGAAAGACAAAAGGAAAAAGAAGGAACUCGGCAAACACUGGCCUCGCCUGUUUACCAAAAACAUCGCCUCUUGCAAAUAGUAGUAUAAGAGGUCCCGCCUGCCCUGUGACGAGAGUUUAACGGCCGCGGUAUUUUGACCGUGCGAAGGUAGCGUAAUCACUUGUCUUUUAAAUAAAGACCUGUAUGAAUGGCAUAACGAGGGCUAAGCUGUCUCCUUUUUCUAGUCAAUGAAAUUGAUCUGCCCGUGCAGAAGCGGGCAUUAACCCAUAAGACGAGAAGACCCUAUGGAGCUUUAGACACAAGGGCAGACUACGUUAAGCCCCCUUAAUAAUAAGGAUUAAACCAAGUAGCCCCUGUCCCAAUGUCUUUGGUUGGGGCGACCGCGGGGAAACAAAAAACCCCCACGUGGAACAGGACCUUCCUCCUUAAAGCCAGAGCCACAGCUCUAACAAACAGAAAAUCUGACCAACAAGACCCGGCAAUGCCGAUCAACGGACCCAGUUACCCUAGGGAUAACAGCGCAAUCCCCUUUUAGAGCCCAUAUCGACAAGGGGGUUUACGACCUCGAUGUUGGAUCAGGACAUCCUAAUGGUGCAGCCGCUAUUAAGGGUUC